rnacentral:tRNA from 2 species
CGGCGUGUAGCUCAGCGGUGAGAGCGGCGUCCUUAUAAGACGCGGGCCGAAGGUUCGAUUCCUUCCACGCCGA